rnacentral:rRNA from 1 species
AAUAGAUACCCCGGUAGUCCACGCCGUAAACGGUGGGUACUAGGUGUGGGUUUCCUUCCUUGGGAUCCGUGCCGUAGCUAGCGCAUUAAGUACCCCGCCUGGGGAGUACGGCCGCAAGGCUAAAACUCAAAGGAAUUGACGGGGGGCCCGCACAAGCGGCGGAGCAUGUGGAUUAAUUCGAUGCAACGCGAAGAACCUUACCUGGGUUUGACAUGCACAGGACGCUGGUAGAGAUAUCAGUUCCCUUGUGGUCUGUGUGCAGGUGGUGCAUGGCUGUCGUCAGCUCGUGUCGUGAGAUGUUGGGUUAAGUCCCGCAACGAGCGCAACCCUUGUCUCAUGUUGCCAGCACGUGAUGGUGGGGACUCGUGAGAGACUGCCGGGGUCAACUCGGAGGAAGGUGGGGAUGACGUCAAGUCAUCAUGCCCCUUAUGUCCAGGGCUUCACACAUGCUACAAUGGCCGGUACAAAGGGCUGCGAUGCCGUGAGGUUAAGCGAAUUCUUUAAAGCCGGUCUCAGUUCGGAUCGGGGU